AGACCCGAAACCCGGUGAUCUAGCCAUGGGCAGGUUGAAGGUUGGGUAACACUAACUGGAGGACCGAACCGACUAAUGUUGAAAAAUUAGCGGAUGACCUGUGGCUGGGGGUGAAAGGCCAAUCAAACCGGGAGAUAGCUGGUUCUCCCCGAAAGCUAUUUAGGUAGCGCCUCGUGAAUUCAUCUCCGGGGGUAGAGCACUGUUUCGGCUAGGGGGCCAUCCCGGCUUACCAACCCGAUGCAAACUGCGAAUACCGGAGAAUGUUAUCACGGGAGACACACGGCGGGUGCUAACGUCCGUCGUGAAGAGGGAAACAACCCAGACCGCCAGCUAAGGUCCCAAAGUCAUGGUUAAGUGGGAAACGAUGUGGGAAGGCCCAGACAGCCAGGAUGUUGGCUUAGAAGCAGCCAUCAUUUAAAGAAAGCGUAAUAGCUCACUGGUCGAGUCGGCCUGCGCGGAAGAUGUAACGGGGCUAAACCAUGCACCGAAGCUGCGGCAGCGAACGUAUCACCCAAGACAACUUUACGGAGUUGACGAUUGACGGAGCGAAGCGACGUCAAAGCGUUCAUUAAAGUCGAGUUGGCUUAGGGAUACGUUCGUUGGGUAGGGGAGCGUUCUGUAAGCCUGUGAAGGUGUGUCGUGAGGCAUGCUGGAGGUAUCAGAAGUGCGAAUGCUGACAUAAGUAACGAUAAAGCGGGUGAAAAGCCCGCUCGCCGGAAGACCAAGGGUUCCUGUCCAACGUUAAUCGGGGCAGGGUGAGUCGACCCCUAAGGCGAGGCCGAAAGGCGUAGUCGAUGGGAAACGGGUUAAUAUUCCCGUACUUGGUGUUACUGCGAAGGGGGGACGGAGAAGGCUAUGUUGGCCGGGCGACGGUUGUCCCGGUUUAAGCGUGUAGGUGUGUGUUCCAGGUAAAUCCGGUUCACUUUAACACUGAGGCGUGAUGACG
rnacentral:rRNA from 1 species